CAGCCAGUAACCAUGUGAGUGAGCUUGUAAGUGGAUUCCUUAAUGCCAGUCAAGGCUAGAGAUGAAUAUAGCAUCAGCUCAUGAGAGACCUUGAGCCAUAAAAAUUUAGGCCAAGAAUAGAAAACAAGGCAUUGGGAAGAACAUCAUGAGCAAAGGAAUGAAGUGGGACUGAAAUGCUAUGUUGUUGUAUUCUGGCUGGAAACACAGGAUACAAGAAGGCAGAACUGCCUCACAUCUGAGUCAGAAUCCUGGGCUUGAUUUCUCAUGUAACUGAUGAAAAUAUCUCCCACAAAAUGAUGACCAUAAAUAAGAAACAUCAGAAUACUUGCUUUGGCAGAUGACACCAAGAUAACUCGAAGGUAUGUCUCCUUUUUUUUGGAUGUUAAAAAGUCUGUUUCAACUACUCAUUUUUUCACAGAGACUCAACUGCUCC
rnacentral:lncRNA from 1 species